GACGUAGGGCGCGAGCGUUGUCCGGAUUUAUUGGGCGUAAAGAGCUCGUAGGCGGCUUGUUGCGUCAGCUGUGAAAACCCGCAGCUCAACUGUGGGCUUGCAGCUGAUACGGGCAGGCUUGAGUUCGGUAGGGGAGACUGGAAUUCCGGGUGUAGCGGUGAAAUGUGUAGAGAUCCGGAGGAACACCAGUGGCGCAAGCGACGCCCUGGGCCAUACCUGACGCUGAGAUGCGAAAGCGUGGGGAGCGAACGGG
rnacentral:rRNA from 1 species